rnacentral:rRNA from 1 species
CCAAUAGCGUAUAUUAAAGUUGUUGCAGUUAAAAAGCUCGUAGUUGAAUUUUAGGCCUGACCGGGCGGUCCGUCUUUGGCGAGUACUGUCCUGUGUCGGGUCCACCUUCUGGUGAACCAGUAUGUCCUUUAUUGGGUGUGCCGGGGAGCCAGGACCAUUACCUUGAAAAAAUUAGAGUGUUUAAAGCAGGCAUUUGCUUGAAUAGAUUAGCAUGGAGUAAUAGAAUAGGACGUUGUGGUUCUAUUUUGUUGGUUUCUAGGACCACCGUAAUGAUUAAUAGGGAUAGUUGGGGGCAUUAGUAUUCAAUUGUCAGAGGUGAAAUUCUUGGAUUUAUUGAAGACUAACUAUUGCGAAAGCAUUUGCCAAGGAUGUUUUCAUUAAUCAAGAACGAAAGUUAGGGGAUCGAAGACGAUCAGAUACCGUCGUAGUCUUAACCAUAAACUAUGCCGACUAGGAAUCGGGCGACGUUAUUUUCAUGACUCGCUCGGCGCCUUAUG